UACAGAAAUGAACACAACAACAGAGAAAAUUGACAAAGUAGAAUAGACGUUUAGAGAAAUGGCAGGUUUCAGUGAAGAAAUCCAGGUGCAGCCAUUGGCAUUCUCCCUGGCAUCUUCAUCAUGAAUGGAUCCUUACAAGACAAGAAGCCUGGAAGAAAAGGUGACAAGUGCCCAGGAUCAGGCCUGUGCCAUUUCCAGGAGAGCAGAACAAUCCUAUAUUCACCACAUCAGUCAACAUUCAUGCACUCUGGGGAAGAGACUGGUGGCUUGGAAGGUGAUGCUGAGGUGAGGAAUCUGAGGCAGAGAGAGCAACUUUCUCAGAAUCACACAGCAAGU